AUUGAACGCUGGCGGCAGGCUUAACACAUGCAAGUCGAGCGAGCGGCGGACGGGUGAGUAAUGUCUGGGAAACUGCCUGAUGGAGGGGGAUAACUACUGGAAACGGUAGCUAAUACCGCAUACCAUACGAUGUGCCCAGAUUGGAUUAGCUAGUAGGUGGGGUAAUGGCUCACCUAGGCGACGAUCCCUAGCUGGUCUGAGAGGAUGACCAGCCACACUGGAACUGAGAAACGGUCCAGACUCUUACGGGAGGCAGAAGUGGGGAAUAUUGCACAAGGGGCGAAAGCCUGAUGCAGCCAUGCCGCGUGAGUGAAGAAGGCCUUCGGGUUGUAAAGUACUUUCAGCGAGGAGGCGUUACUCGCAGAAGAAGCACCGGCUAACUCCGUGCCAGCCGCCGCGGUAAUUC
rnacentral:rRNA from 1 species